rnacentral:rRNA from 1 species
CAGUAGCCGCGGUAAUACGUAUGUCACGAGCGUUAUCCGGAUUUAUUGGGCGUAAAGCGCGUCUAGGUGGUUAUAUAAGUCUGAUGUGAAAAUGCAGGGCUCAACUCUGUAUUGCGUUGGAAACUGUAUAACUAGAGUACUGGAGAGGUAAGCGGAACUACAAGUGUAGAGGUGAAAUUCGUAGAUAUUUGUAGGAAUGCCGAUGGGGAAGCCAGCUUACUGGACAGAUACUGACACUGAAGCGCGAAAGCGUGGGUAGCAAACAGGAUUAGAGACCCCCGUAGUCCCUGUCUCUUAUACA